rnacentral:lncRNA from 1 species
UCCAAAAUGUAAUUGUGCCAAAUAUUCUAACCUUUAGGAACUAAACCUGAUGAACCAAUUCCUCAAUAAUGUUUUCUUAGGCUUUACCAUUAAUGCUAAAUACGAUACUUUAAGACAAACUGCACCUGAAACAUAACUUUAUUGUUUCAGUUUCAACGGGUGAUUUAAGUUAAAUGCCGUGUAGAAAUGUCAAAGUCAAAUAAAAUUCAGCAUAUAUCAAAUGUCCCAUGAUGCUCUUCUGUGAGUUUUAAAGCCAUAUGAUGAAUGUCAUUUAUUAUAUAACCCAUGUAAAUACCAACUUGUUGAAAUUCAAAGACAUGCUGCCAAAGUUGCUGGUUCUUUUCAGUAGUAAAGGCAAAGAGAAAUUAUUUAUUCCACAGGGAAAACUAAAAGUCAUGAAGUUUCUUCAUAUCCUAUGACACAGUCCAGACAUUUUGUUUAUGCAUAGCAGCCAACGCUUCUCACAGGAGAGCAGACUGACCUUUUCUAAACUCUGCUACAGAUUACAUGUCCUCACAACAAGAACAGAAGCUAAGUGUGCACGCCCACGUGUGAGCAUACAUUUAAAUACAGGAUGGAGUCUGAGGCAAACAGGAGUGUACGACAACUCCCCUUUACAUUGAGGUCUAGUCCCGCAAAACCUCUAUUACAGUAGAUCAGGUCUGUAUUUAACACUGCACCAUCACCAAACCAUCAGGAGGCAUCUGCCUCCUCCUUAUUUUAUCCUGCUGCUGUGGUAAAUUCUGUUCCUCCUAUGGAGUUAUUUCUGUCCAUUGCAACAAAUGUCAAGUUGACCGUGGUGUCAGGUUGGCCACUAAAACAAAUAAACUGCUGCAGCUGAGUAAACAUGGACUUUCGAUGGACACGUAGGCACUCGCUGGUUGCAUAAACAACACAGCUUUAAAAAGUGGGCAUUGGGAGAUGUUUCUUAGAGUGCUUCGCAGAGGGUCUGCUGCAGACACCCAGCUGACCUUUUUCGACCUCUCAGUUCUUUCUGCAGAAGAACAAGCGGAAUGGCGUCACGAACACAGGCGUGAGGAGCCUUGUCCAGAACCAACAUUUGUCCGGACUGGCCCGGACGCACGACCGUCGUCAUCAGUGAAGGUAAAUAGCGCUUAAAGCUUUUACGUGACGAUUCUCUGUGUUCGGGACAGUGUGAGCAGAUGUUGGUAAGAUUAGAGAAAUCUGAUCAUUAAAUUCUGAUUUGGCUGCUCCUAGUAAAGUAUCUGUGUGGGAGAGACAAAGAGAGGCGGUGGAGAAUUUACCUGUGCUUACUUAUACUGCUGUAAAUAGCUGCUUUGCAUAACCAACUGCUGUGUGUGUAUGUGCUAUCUUGCGCUUGGGGAAAAAAUGACAUGGCCUAUUGACCUCUAAAAGUUACGUAGGUUAACUUGAGGCAGGCGACGUUUGAAAAAUCUAAAGUACGGGCGUUGUAGUCUGCAUUCGGAUAAAAUAAAUUUAAGGCUGUGUAAGUUCUGUGUCGACGC